rnacentral:rRNA from 2 species
AAAAAGAUAAAGAAUGAAGAGUUUGAUCCUGGCUCAGGAUAAACGCUGACAGAAUGCUUAACACAUGCAAGUCUAUGAGGAAGUUUAGCUUGCUAAAUGGACUCAUGGCGGACGGGUGAGUAACGCGUAAAGAACUUGCCCUUUAGACUGGGAUAACAGAGGGAAACUUCUGAUAAUACUGGAUAAGUUAGUAUAUCGCAUGAUAUACAAAUGAAAGCUACGGCACUAAAGGAGAGCUUUGCGUCCUAUUAGCUAGUUGGUAAGGUAAGAGCUUACCAAGGCGAUGAUAGGUAGCCGGCCUGAGAGGGUGGACGGCCACAAGGGGACUGAGAUACGGCCCUUACUCCUACGGGAGGCAGCAGUGGGGAAUAUUGGACAAUGGAGGAAACUCUGAUCCAGCAAUUCUGUGUGUGUGAAGAAGGUUUUAGGACUGUAAAACACUUUUAGUAGGGAAGAAAAAAAUGACGGUACCUACAGAAGAAGCAACGGCUAAAUACGUGCCAGCAGCCGCGGUAAUACGUAUGUUGCGAGCGUUAUCCGGAAUUAUUGGGCUUAAAGGGCAUCUAGGCGGUAAGACAAGUUGAAGGUGAAAACCUGUGGCUCAACCAUAGGCUUGCAUACAAAACUGUUGAACUAGAGUACUGGAAAGGUGGGUGGAACUACACGAGUAGAGGUGAAAUUCGUAGAUAUGUGUAGGAAUGCCGAUGAUGAAGAUAACUCACUGGACAGAAACUGACGCUGAAGUGCGAAAGCUAGGGGAGCAAACAGGAUUAGAUACCCUGGUAGUCCUAGCUGUAAACGAUGAUCACUGGGUGUGGGGAUGCGAAGUCUCUGUGCCGAAGCAAAAGCGAUAAGUGAUCCGCCUGGGGAGUACGUUCGCAAGAAUGAAACUCAAAGGAAUUGACGGGGGCCCGCACAAGUGGUGGAGCAUGUGGUUUAAUUCGACGCAACGCGAGGAACCUUACCAGAUCUUGACAUCCUCGGGAGAGUAUAGAAGUAUACUUGUGCCUUCGGGAACCGAGAGACAGGUGGUGCAUGGCUGUCGACAGCUCGUGUUGUGAGAUGUUGGGUUAAGUCCCGCAACGAGCGAAACCCCUAUCAUUAGUUGCCAUCAUUAAGUUGGGGACUCUAAUGAAACUGCCUACGAAGAGUAGGAGGAAGGUGGGGAUGACGUCAAGUCAUCAUGCCCCUUAUGAUCUGGGCUACACACGUGCUACAAUGGGUAGUACAAAGAGAAGCUUUGUAGCGAUACAUGGCGAAACUUAAAAAGCUAUUCUUAGUUCGGAUUGAAGUCUGCAACUCGACUUCAUGAAGUUGGAAUCACUAGUAAUCGUGAAUCAGCAAUGUCACGGUGAAUACGUUCUCGGGCCUUGUACACACCGCCCGUCACACCACGAGAGUUGUUUGCACCUGAAAUUACCGGCCUAACCGCAAGGAGGGAGGUACUGAAGGUGUGGAUAGUGAUUGGGGUGAAGUCGUAACAAGGUAUCCGUACCGGAAGGUGCGGAUGGAUCACCUCCUUUCUAAGGA